rnacentral:rRNA from 1 species
UACGUAGGGUGCAAGCGUUGUCCGGAAUUAUUGGGCGUAAAGAGCUCGUAGGCGGCUCGUCGCGUCGGCUGUGAAAACCUGGGGCUCAACCCCGGGCCUGCAGCCGAUACGGGCGAGCUAGAAUUCGGUAGGGGAGACUGGAAUUCCGGGUGUAGCGGUGGAAUGCGUAGAGAUCCGGAAGAACACCGGUGGCGAAGGCGGUGAGCUGGGCAGUAGCUGACACUGAGGCGCGACAGCGUGGGGAGCAAACAGG